rnacentral:rRNA from 1 species
AUUGAACGCUGGCGGCAGGCCUAACACAUGCAAGUCGGACGGUAGCACAGAGGAGCUUGCUCCUCGGGUGAGGAGUGGCGGACGGGUGAGUAAUGUCUGGGGAUCUGCCCGAUAGAGGGGGAUAACCACUGGAAACGGUGGCUAAUACCGCAUAACGUCGCAAGACCAAAGAGGGGGACCUUCGGGCCUCUCACUAUCGGAUGAACCCAGAUGGGAUUAGCUAGUAGGCGGGGUAACGGCACACCUAGGCGACGAUCCCUAGCUGGUCUGAGAGGAUGACCAGCCACACUGGAACUGAGACACGGUCCAGACUCCUACGGGAGGCAGCAGUGGGGAAUAUUGCACAAUGGGCGCAAGCCUGAUGCAGCCAUGCCGCGUGUAUGAAGAAGGCCUUCGGGUUGUAAAGUACUUUCAGCGGGGAGGAAGGCGAUGUGGUUAAUAACCGCGUCGAUUGACGUUACCCGCAGAAGAAGCACCGGCUAACUCCGUGCCAGCAGCCGCAGUAA